ncrna:Aequorivita capsosiphonis DSM 23843 S15-Flavobacteria ribosomal protein leader
UAUCUUUGCCGCCUUGAUUAUCAAAACGGUAGUCAGUACAUAAUAAUCAUUUUAACAAUAUUGGCAUG